CUACGGGUUGCACCAGUGAGGAAUAUUGCACAAUGGGGGGAACCCUGAUGCAGCAACGCCGCGUGGAGGAUGACGCAUUUCGGUGUGUAAACUCCUUUUAUAUGUCAAGAAAAUGACGGUAGCAUAUGAAUAAGCACCGGCUAACUCCGUGCCAGCAGCCGCGGUAAUACGGAGGGUGCAAGCGUUACUCGGAAUCACGGGGCGUAAAGGACGCGUAGGCGGGUUGGAAAGUCAGGUGUGAAAUCCUACAGCUUAACUGUAGAACUGCACUUGAAACUUCUAAUCUAGAGUAUGGGAGGGGAAGAUGGAAUUAGUGGUGUAGGGGUAAAAUCCGUAGAUAUCACUAGGAAUACCUAAAGCGAAGGCGAUCUCCUGGAACAUUACUGACGCUAAGGCGUGAAAGCGUGGGGAGCAAACAGGAUUAGAUACCCCGGUAGUC
rnacentral:rRNA from 1 species